rnacentral:snRNA from 1 species
AUACUUACCUGGCAGGGGAGACACCAUGAUCAUGAAGGUGGCUUAUCCACAGUGGGGUUCAGCUGUUGCACUCCAGCUGGGCUGACCCCUGCAAUUUCCCCAAAUGCGGGAAACUUGCAUAAUUUGUGGUAGUGGGGGACUGUGUUCGCACUUUCCCCUA